rnacentral:rRNA from 1 species
CAGUCGCCGCGGUAAUACAAAGGGGGCUAGCGUUGCUCGGAAUUACUGGGCGUAAAGGGAGCGUAGGCGGAUCGUUUAGUCAGGGGUGAAAUCCCGGGGCUCAACCUCGGAACUGCCUUUGAUACUGGCGAUCUUGAGUAUGGGAGAGGUGUGUGGAACUCCGAGUGUAGAGGUGAAAUUCGUAGAUAUUCGGAAGAACACCAGUGGCGAAGGCGACACACUGGCCCAUUACUGACGCUGAGGCUCGAAAGCGUGGGGAGCAAACAGGAUUAGAUACCCGAGUAGUCCCUGUCUCUUAUAC